ACAUAGAUAUACAAAUUUAAUUAGUAUUGCACAAUGAUAGAUCCACAUCACAUAAACCAUCAACAAGCACCACAACAAAAUCAUUCACAAAACCUACACAUGUUAUUAUGUUUUGCACAUAUUUGCAAACACUUUACAAAAUCAUUCACAAAAGUACUAACGCUUCAAGUGAUUCACAAAAGCCUUCACAAAAGCACUCCAAAUUCUUGUAUCCUCUUGUUUUAAGGCACAAGCUUGUAGGGGUUGUGAUGUCGCCACUUACUUGAUGCUAACAAGACAUUUCCUUCACCAAAGCCAUCUUCAACACUUCGCCCAUAAAAAAAGAUCAAUUCUCAUUUUCAAUUGCCUGCAAGACAAGUGAUAAUUGCAAUAAGUAAAUUAUAAUCUACAUUUAUAUAAUCUAGACUACCAAACAACUACAUAUAGUAGAUUAUAAUAUGGAUUAUAUAAUUUAGAUUAUAAUCUAGAUUAUAUAAUCUAUAAGCUGAAACAAACGGGUCCUAAGGCAAUGCAGGCACGAUAAAUUCAGCAUAACAUAAAGGCAGUUCUUCAACAUCAGAGAGCACAAUAUUCUCAGUCAGCUCCCUUUAACACAACAAAAUCUUAAACAAGAGCUUCCUAGCUUUUGCAGAGCUCUAUCCUCCACAAGCCGGUCAUGAUACAACAUUACACACUUAGGUAAAUUUACAGAAGCUAUUAUAGAGUACUGAGUACUUACCUUAUAUUCAUCAAUUGCAUCUUGAGCAAAAUCGAUAUCUGUAUCUUUUUCCCUGAAACAACGCACCAACAGCAAGGUCAGUCAGACUAAUGCAUACUAAUUAAACAGUAAAGGUGUAUUCCUAUUUCCUACAAUAAAAAAUCAACAUCCACCAGAUAGAAUAUAAAAUGUAUGAAAGAUCAUCACAUAUAAUCAUACUCUGAAUCAACAGAGGUAGAGAUAUUGUGUAUAUGAUCAAAGCUCAUCCAUGUGCAAAACAAUAAUCAUAACCAUAAAACAGGAUACCAUGCCAUGAAAAUUACCAGGUAGAUUCUGCAUAAGGAAGUCCUUGCCAUUUGACUAAAUAUUCAGGAACCAGAUCAUCUCCAUCAGCUUUGCUGACCCUAUCAGCAAAUAUCCGCUCAACCUGAAGAUUUAAUGUCAGAAGAUAUGCAAAGCGACAAUGAAUAUGUUAGCAUAACCAGAGAAACAUAUCAAAUUAAUGCCAAUAUGUUGCCAAGUAAAGAAGCCUACGGAUGCAAGCCAAUAUCACACCAUAAUCACUAAUUAAUAGCAGCAAAUUUAACCUAACAAUGACUUAAUUUUGAACAUCGUAAAAAGAACUACUGUGUAAAAAAACAGGGACCUUCCAUACAGAAAGAGGCACCAACAUUUCCUUUACAUUUUUAAGUUUUAUCACAGUGGAUUUUCAUAUCUGGAUGCUGAGAUAUAAAAGGUGACAUGCUUCAAUUCAUGUUAAACUUGAAAUUGUUAUCUAGUGGUUUACCUCUUCACGUGAUAGUGCCCUCUUGUACCUCUGUUCCUCAGCAACUCUUUUCGUGUAAUUUAUUACCUUCUUGAAUCCACUAACCUGUCAUGUAGGGGUUACAUGAGUGAAAGCAGAUUUAGAAAGAACAAAGACAAAGGAUUAAGCAGAUUUAGAAACGGCCGCAGUAAAGCUCCAUUACAUGCGAUGAAGAACGGACAGCGGGGUUCGUCGGUUGGCCUUCGGUUGGCGCUGGCUCGGAGUCGGGGGAGCAGGGGCACGCGGCUUCAGGUGCGCCGGCAUCUUGGGCGCGGUUCCUGGCUCGUUGAUGGCGCUCCACUCUCUGCUCGGCUCGGCGCCCCGUUAGCUGCUCUGGUGCGGCGGGCGGUGGCCUGGGUGCUCGGGCGCUCGGCGCACCGCUCGGCCGACCUAGGUGCUCGACGCCCCGCUCGGCCGUGGCCUGGUGGUUGGCGGCUGGCCGUGGAGCCAUGGUCCGUGGAGAGUGGAGAACAGCAGCAGCUAGCGGCGGCUGGUGGGCUUGGCGGCUAGGGUUAGAAGGACAGGAGAAGGUGCUAGGAGGCUAGGGGGCUGGGGGUUUUCCGCUGGGAAUUGGGGAUGCGGCUAGGUGGCUAGGGGCUUGGCGGCUAGGGCUAGCGGCGGGUAGGUUUUGUUUUUUUUUUCUUUUUUUAUUUCUUUUUCUAAAUUUGAAAUACAUUUUUAAAUAAUCCUAAAAUUCAUAGUAAUUAAACCAAAUUAUUUAUAAAUAAAAUAUUAAUUUUUGUGCUAAUAAUAUUAUAUUUUUUUUAUUUACUAGGAUUUUUAUUUAAGAAGAAAUGUUAUUCAAUAACCAAAAAUCAAUCAUGCGCAAUAAAAAAUUUAUUCUAAAUGCAAAUACAAAACAAACACUUAAAAUAAAAUUCAUUACCAUAAAUAUCAUUAAUAACUAAAUGCAUUAUUUUUAUUUUAUGAUUUUUAUAGUGUUAUAGUUUUCUUUUCCAUAAUUCUUUUUUCUUUUUUACAAUUCUUUUUUUCUUUACUACAAUUUAGCGAUCAAUGUUUACUUAUUUUAAUUAAUUUUUAGUCACUAACAUCUACAGGUACGUUCAGGCUAUAAGAUUUGAUAGUGAUCCUUGCUCUAUAGCGACCCACCGCUAGUCCCCCGACGACAUCUACAGCGACCAACCAUAAGUUGUUAAAUUCUAGACUUUUAGCGACCAACCGACCGUUGCUACAAAAGGAUUUAGCGACUGACCGUCGGUCCCUAACCUUUAGCAACCAACAGUUGGUACCUAAUAAGGGUCGCUAAAGAUCAAUCGUCGUGUAAUGUAUGCUUUAAAGUGUAUUUCUAUACUUAGUCUUAGAUUGGAAGGGAAAAUGGAGUAUUCGGCAAAGACAAGGUUUCCACUCCAACUCUGAUGGUAUCAUUUACCCUUUGUCGUUGCUCCUACAACUCUCAAUGGUACGAACCUUCAUUUGUAUUUAUUUUACUAUUUGGGAGAAGGUAUUAGGCCCCAAAGGGGGAGAAAAGUUGCAAGUGGGCUCUCAAGUUCUCCGUUUUUGGCGAUUAAUGCCAAAGGGGAGAAAGUAUUUAGCCCAAAGCAAAAGGACCGCACCACCACCACCAUUUCAAAAUUUCAAAAAUAAGUAUUCCAAUUGGUAUUUGAUCAAAAUGAAUUUUCAAUUGGUAUGUGAAGUGAAUUUCUCAAUUGGUAUCUCAUUUGGUAUUUCAAAAUUGUUUUUCAAAUGGGUAUCUUCAAAACUUCACAUUAGUAUGAAAGAUUUCAAUUGGUAUAAUUUCACUUGGUAUCUAUUUCAAAACCCUCUUGAAAGCUAAGGGGAAAAUUUCAUUCAGGGGGAGCUUUUAUUUAGUCAAAGCAAAAGCAUUUGAAAUAGGGGAAGGAAUUUCAAAUCUUAAAAAUGCUUCUUGCAAUCUUAUUCCUAUACCUUUGACUAUUUGCAAAAGAAUUUUUGAAAGGAUUUUUCCAAAAGAUUUGCAAAAAUAAACAUGUGGUGCAAAUGUGGUCCAAAAUUUUAAAUAAGGAAAAGCAAUUCAUUCAUUCUUAGUCAUAUAUUUAAAGUCUUUCAAUUGGUUUAACUCCAAGCAACCUAUGCACAUCUAUCUCAAUUGCUUUGGUUUGUGUUGGCAUCAAUCACCAAAAAUGGGGAGAUUGAAAGGGAAAUAGGGUUAACUAUUUCCUAUAAUUGAUUUUGGUGGUUGACAUCCAACAUAAACCACAUGGACUAACUAGUUUGUCUAGAUAUCAUCUAUUACAGGUGCAUAAGGUUCAACACAAACCAAGAAAGAAAUCCAGUUAGGGACACAAUCAAAAUUGGAGCAAAGAACUAGAGUGUGCUGAAUUUUUGCGCACCAGAUAGUGUCCGGUGUACCAGACCGUACAACAUAUGAACCAGCCAUUCUCAGGAAUUCCAGGGGCACGCUCCGCUAUAAUUCACCGGACUGUCCGGUGAGUCAGCGGAGCAACGGCUCCCUGUGUGCCAACGGUCGACUGUAGAAGCUACAGUGAACUACAGUAUUGUGGCAGAAGUCAGAGGGCACCGGACUAUCCGGUGCAGCAAGACGACAAGCAACUCCAACUGUCAACUACUUCGAACCCUAACGGUUGCGCUAAUGUGGCGCGAACCGGACAGUGCACAGUGGCUGUCCGGUGGCGCACCGGACUGUCCGGUGCGCCCAUCGCCAGCAGCCUUUGCCAACGACUAGGAAUUGGUUGGGGAAACCACCUCAUUCAUUGCCAUCCAAGUUUUCUAAAGAUCACAUUCAAUACAAGAGCUAGAACAUUCACUCCAAGACAAAAUUCCAAAGAUCAAACCCUCUUUAAGUGCCAAAUUCAUCUCAACCACUUAGUGACUUGAGAGAGAGUGAUUUUGUGUUCAUUUUUUGUGGUCCUUGCGAGGUCUUAGUGACCCGUGAGAUUAAGGAAAAGGCUCACUCGGUCUAAGUGACCGUUUGAGAGAGAGGGAAAGGGUUGGAAUAGACCCGACCUUUGUGGCCUCCUCAACGGGGACUAGGUUCUUUGGAACCGAACCUCGAUAAAACAAAUCACCAUGUCUAAUCGCUUUGAUUCUCGCUUGAUUUGUUUGCCCUCUUUCCUCUCUCUCUAACAUUUCCUUGCUAGCAUUAAUUUGAGUUUGCUACCAUACGUCAUCUGCACUCUUUGAGCAACUCCUAGCAAGAGAAACAAUCUUUCGGGCUUGAGUUUAAUUCUAACGCUAACCCUGGCCUUUAGUGUGUGUUUAAGUUAUAAAUUUCAGGUUUCGCCUAUUCACCCCCCUCUAGGCGACUUUCACUUGCGAAUACUAUGGUGAAGUCUGGGUCGCGAGAACAGGGCUGAGACGGGCAGACGGCGGAGGGGGGGAAGGUCCCUGGUAUCUUGGGCUUCAAAGAAACAAAACUCCGUAGCUCUUUCCACCUUCGAAGCCGAGUACAUUGCCAUAGGACAUUGUUGUGCGCAAUUAUUUUGGAUGAGGCAAACCCUUAGGGACUAUGGCUACAAGUUGAGCAAAGUCCCUCUCCUAUGUGAUAAUGUGAGUGCAAUCCGCAUGGCGGAUAAUCCCGUUGAACAGAGCCGCACUAAGCACAUAGACAUCUGGUAUCACUUUUUGAGAGAUCACCAACAAAAGGGGGAUAUCAAAAUAGCUUAUGUGAGCACCCACAACCAAUUAGCUGAUAUCUUUACCAAACCACUAGAUGAGAAAACCUUUAGCAAACUCAGGAAUGAGCUAAAUAUACUUGAUUCUCGGAACUUUGAUUGAAACAUUGCACACAUAGCUCAUGUAUAUACCUUUGAUCAUGUCUAUUUCAUUUGGUGCAAAUACAUAUUUCUUAUUCUUCUUGUGCCAAGGCUAAGACUAAAAUCACUACACGACGGUUCACUUACAGCGACCUACGGUUGGUUGCUAAAACGGCCUUCAGCGACCUAUGGUUGGUCGCUAAAAACUUUUAGCGACCCAUAUGGAUGGUCGAUGUAAGUGCCGUCGCUAAAGGCUUUAGCGACCGACAUCUUUUUAGCGACCGACCGUCCGUUGCUAAUAUUAUAUAUUUAGCGACCAACCGUGGGUUGUUGUACUAUAGAUUUAGCAACCAAUCGUGAGUCGUUAUACUAUACAUUUAGCAACCAACAGAAAGUUACCCCUAAUUAUAGUCGUUAAUAAUGAUAAUAUACCAUUAAUUAGCAUUCAACAACUGUUAUAUAUACAAAAGCAUCACAAAUCACCAAUUUUUAUACACAUAAUCACAUAGAUAUACAAAUUUAAUUAGUAUUGCACAAUGAUAGAUCCACAUCACAUAAACCAUCAACAAGCACCACAACAAAAUCAUUCACAAAACCUACACAUGUUAUUAUGUUUUGCACAUAUUUGCAAACACUUUACAAAAUCAUUCACAAAAGUACUAACGCUUCAAGUGAUUCACAAAAGCCUUCACAAAAGCACUCCAACUUCUUGUAUCCUCUUGUUUUAAGGCACAAGCUUGUAGGGGUUGUGAUGUCGCCACUUACUUGAUGCUAACAAGACAUUUCCUUCACCAAAGCCAUCUUCAACACUUCGCCCAUAAAAAAAGAUCAAUUCUCAUUUUCAAUUGCCUG
rnacentral:lncRNA from 1 species